CAUUAAACUAUAUGAUUAAAAACAUUACAAAGAUGAAGUUAUUAAGUAUUACACUUACAAUGAAACAAAAUUUGCAUCUAUUAAUUCUGUAAUCAUUAUGUAUUCUAACAUAUAAUUGAUAAUUGACAAGUGGAUAAUUUACGACCCUCUAUUUCUACAUGUUUCACCAUAUCCUAUUUAUACAAGAGAGGGCCAGAUCUUGAUACUGCAAAUCUUGGCAAUGGACUGGGACCUGUACUGCCUGAAGUUGAGCCUUCCACGAAUUUAGUUUUGCGGCUUGAACUAUAAUCCAAAGGCCCAGACCGGCGAACAUUCCAGUGUUUGUUUUCAGUGCUGCGAAGGCUCCCACUAUCCGUGUCAUACGGGUGUUCCUGGUUAUGGGAUGAUGAUCCUUUAAAGAAUCCUGAAUCAUUAGUACCAUACUGAGGUGUUGAAUCUCCACGAGGCUGCUUCACCGAAGGUGAUGCAUGCAGCGAUACUGCAGGUGAAUGGCGAGGUGAUACACUUAGUAGUGCCAGUGGCAUGGAAGGAGAAUUUGAGUAGUACUGGCUGUAAAUUGAACGAAGAAUUGCGUAAGGAANUUGCGUAAGGAACAUGGGCUUCAAGAGAACUUCUUGGAAGGUAUGGGGACAUCUCACAGAGUUGGUCCAGGAAAAUAAGCUUUGCUACAAGAUGAGACCUAUUAGCAUCACUCCAAGAAUCUAGCACAAUUCCAGUGGCAAAUUUGACAAAAAGCUGCAUUGCAGAUUUAAUACUUGCUUCAGCUGAUAAACGGCUAUGUAUUUCAGGAUCCAAAGCCUCACCAACAUGGCCAUUGGAGAAAGACAGCCUCUGGUGAUGUUCACGUUCCAUUCUCACAAACUCACUUCCCGCAAUCACAGCACUCAUGCACCUUGCCAAGCAAUGAAUAUUGUUGUUGAAGCCCCCUGUGUCAACAUUGAAGCCAGUGGUGUUCCAGAUGCUUGAUGUCAUGAAGGUUGCAAAUAAAUAAGGCAACAAGGUCCAAGAACCAUCAUUUGCACCCCCAACUUCUUCAAGAAUUGAUCUUACCCACUCAGAAUCAUGAUCCAGAACCAAACCAACACUAGUUGCCACCCCUCUUAUUCUCUUUAUUUCUCUCUUUUCAGGCAUUUCUUCAGGUAUAUGCUUAACUACCCCAGCAAGUAGUGAAUAUAUCAAGGGUGCACCUUCUUCAAGCACAACUCCAGCAGCUUCAGCAAGAAGCUGAUCAAAAGCAAGCGCUUGUCCUGCCUCAAUACAAAAUCCAAUUACUGUGUCCAAGUCUACAAUCUGCUUCAAACAUGCCUCCCUUUCUAUUCGAUCACCAGAAUGCAUGCUUCCAGCAAUUGCCUCUAUCACUUCACGGUUAGAACGUAAUGAUGUGUCGACACAAUUUAAAAGUGCAGCAGUGUGCUCUUUCAUCAUUCUGUCUAGCCUGUCAACUCCAUAGCCACCAAAAAUACGAACAAAGGCCUGCAAUUCUCUGAGAUCAGUAACUGACUCGGCAAAAUAUCCACCAACAGGCCUUGUGCUUUUGAUGCAUCUGUGCAAUGGUGUAAACAAGAUUCCAGCCCCUGAUAUAUCUUUUACAAUGUUUUCUAUGUACCAGUUGCAUACAACUUCAGUGGCUGAUCCAGUAAGCUGCUCAGAUGGUUUUUCAAACAAGUGCAGAGAAGAAACAGGUCCUGAAAAAGCCUCUGUGAGUAGAACUUCUCGAAUACCAUGGGUUAGGUCCAUGCUUAUGUGCUGCUCUGCUAAAUGUAC
rnacentral:misc_RNA from 1 species